AAAUACACACCUACGCAUUCACACCAGACAUGAUGUGUACAGCUGUGAUCAGUGUGGUAAACAGUUUACUACAAACAGAGAGUUACGACGUCACAUGUUUACCCACACUGAGGAACGACCUUAUAAAUGUGACCUGUGUGAGAAGACUUUUAAAUCUCCACGUUACCUGAAAGCACACCAACAGAUCCACACCAGAAAGACUCUACAAGUGCAGUUACUGUGAGAAGCAGAGCGACACAAAUGGAUCAAGUUCUCAACCCUGUCAUCGCUGUGGGAAAGACUUUUGUUGUGACCUUUGUGGAAAGACUUUAAGUCAUUGAAGGACUCUGAAAAUACAUCAACGUAGACACACUGGAGACAAAAUGAACUACUGUAAAGAAUGCGGGAGAGGCUUCACCACUUCAAAGGACUUCAAACAAUAUGAACUCCUUCACAGUGGCGUUAAAAAGCAUGUCUGCGAUCAGUGUGGGUCAUCCUUCAUCAGUGCACGUCAGCUUGAAAAGCAUAAACGAGUCCACACAUGAGAGAAACCAUACAAGUGCAGACACUGUGACAAAACCUUUUCACAAUCAUGUGAUCAUACUAAGCAUGAACGCAGACACAUGAAAGAGAACUUCAUCUGUGAAAGAGUUUGAGUAAUCUCAGUUCAUACUCCACUCAGAAACGAUUCCAUGUUACAAAUAAACUGUUACGUCUUGAUUCCUGCUUUUACGUUAAUCUUGUAAACAGUACAUUUGCAUAACGACUGAAACCGGCCCAAUGAAUGAACAAUGGGCUGUGAGGUCAAUUUCUUCAUCAUUAAUAUGCAAAUUCUUAUGAGCAUUGAUCAACAACCACUGGUCAAUGGCCAUGAGUACCAUUCACAGAGUAAAAAUUUGCAUAAUGAUUAUGAAGUUUACUGUUACCAAUGUUCAAAAACAUUUACUAA